UGCUGAGGAUCUGCAUGUCCUGCUCGCUCUGAAAGGAUCCGAGGUAGGCGACGUUGCUGUCACUGCAACUGACCUCGAACCCGAUCUCGGCGCCGCAGUCGGUCUGCGCGGCGCCGUCCGGGAUGAGCCCGAACGGGAAGGAGAUGGUCACGUUGCCGCAUAGCUGUGGAGGACAGUGAUCUCCGCCUUGCCCAUCUGAUGCCACCCACACCGACGACGAGACUAGUAGGAAGAGCAGCAACGAGGAUGGAACCAGCUGAGCCAUGGCGGAAAGCUUCGAAGAUGGCGCCUUGCGCAGGACGAACACAGAAGGGUGAUUAUAUAUAUUGUUGAACCGCUCACACUCUGGCCUCAUCACAGGCGCACACACACACACAGAGGUGUGGCUGACUAAAUAGUGAAGGUGAUCAGUCCGCGUCGUCGUGUCGUGUGGCUGAGCUAGUGAGUAAUAAAUAUAAAUAGACGCAAAAACUUUGACUGAGGGGCAUUCGGGCCGUCGUCGUGGACACACGGAACUUCCGAGGUGCCCAUACGGGCCACGGCGACGACUGACGUGACCGCGAAUGCGCGCUCCAUCCCACACGGAGCCUGCAUCCUGCCGGCCGGCCAACGAGCUCCUCUCACUUUUUUUUGCCAAACAUAUACACCAAGCCACCAAAAUCUAUUCUUAUUUAUAGAUUUUCAUCUGGCACUAACACGAUGGGCCGGCCCGAACACGACACUAAAAAGUACGAUCCAGGUACGGCACGCCCGAUAGUAGUGCCGUGCCUGGACCGCAACUUCGGCCCGCAGUGUCUGUACGGGCACGGUACGGUUAAUAGGCUGACACGACGCUGGCAUGAUUAUUUUCAUCGUCUGAUGCUUUGAUGAUAGAUCAUGACCAUUGAAUGUAUUUUGAGCCAUGUAUACAAACAUCACAUAACCCUUCCAAACCCUAACUCCCUAGUCGGCGGCGCAGACACAUCCUUGCUGCGGCCACUCUUUCUCCCGCCUGACUAUACGAGAGCGGUGGCGCUCGUCUUUUUCUUGAGGCAGGGCGUAGUGAGCUUCUCGACUUCUCCCGAAGCCAUGGGCUGACACGGCCACGAUGGGCCACCGUGCCUAUCGGCACGGCACGGCACGGUUGCCUAAGCGGAGAGUUUGGCACGAUGACCUGAGACGGCACGGCACGAUAGACAUAGUAUCGCAUAAUGUCAUAUAGUGCCAGGGCCGGACCGCCGGUUUGGUUAAGUAUAUUCUUAUUCGUACGUACGGCCGGGGAGACGAGCUAGCAGAUUUUGGAAGUGGUCGACGCAGUAAUAUAAUGCUCCGGGAUAUGGUUUUGGGCUUGUAGUUCCAACCUGAAUGUGUUUGCAAAACUUACCAAAGUAACUACAGCCUAGCGUGCUUUUUUUUAACGGAACUCAACUGCUCAUGACUUUGUGUAAAGGACAGCAAAAGCUUUGCCAUAAUUUUUUACUAAACGGAGAAAAAAGCAAACAAACUAGCUACUUAACCAAGCGUUUCAGUCUUGGUUGAUGUCAUCCUUGCACAAACUAGAAAGGUAGAAAUAGCUACUUGCCGGAUUGUGCCAGCAUACUUUUUACUUGCGGGUGAUUGUCACGGUCAGCCAAAGCAACAGCUCCAAGAUUUUGUCGACAAACUUUACUUGCAAGUGCGCCAAGAGAAGUUACCUGGUAGUGGCGGCGGCAACGGCGGCAGUGGCAGCGGCGGCGGCGGCCAUGUUGCGAGGAAGCCAUCCCUGACGAGUUGCUCGUAGUCGCUAGCGUUCACCUUCUUGCCAGACACCCCGAGCACCGGUACCAUGGUAAAGUUGCAGCCCUCCAAUAAGUAGCUGCCUGCUGACUCGUCGGAACGCCCAUCGGCAGCACGAACAUAGGUGUUGUUGUGGCACACCGUCUCCACGAGCCCUGCGCCUUGCGGCGGCGGCUUGGUGCAGUUGUAGAAGAUGAGGUUCUGAUUGGCGGGACUAUUCGAGAGCGGAGGAGCAAGUACGGGGAUGGUGUCGGCCGUCGGGAUUCGGCACCCACCGCUGCUAGAGCUAGUAUUGAAAUAUGGAUGCCAGUAUCUACGCGGAGCGAUGUGCAAGGAGCGGUUGUCGUAAAAUAUGCUGAGGAUCUGCAGACUGAUAUCGCUCUGAGAGUAUUCGAGGUAUAGGGAGCUAUUGUUAUAGCAAUGGACCUUGAACCCAAUCCCGAUAUCGCCGCAGCUGGUCUGAUUAUCCAGGAUGAGCCCAAACGGGAAGGAGACGGUCACGUUGCCACAUAGCACGGGCGGACAGUGCUCUCCUCCUGGCCCAGGUGCUGCUGCCACAGGCUGUAUCAUCAGUGGUAAGGACGACAAGGCCACCCACACCGACGACGAGACUAGGAAGAGCAGCAGCGAGGAUGGAACCAGCAGAGCCAUGGCGGAAAGCUUCGACGACGGCAUUAGCAGGACGAACAGAACAGGAACAGGUGUGGCUGAGUAAAUAGUGAAGCUGAGUCCGCGCGUCGUGUGUGCCUGCGUAGUAGACCUCGGAAGACUUUGACUGGGGCAUUCGGGCCGUCGUCGUCAUCGGUGCACGGAAUUCCGAGGUGCCCGAUGGGCGGGGCAAGGCGACGACGACGACUGACGUGACCGUGGACACGCGCUCCCACAGUAUAAGCAGGCACGCUCCUGCCGCCCGGCCAACGAGCUCCUCUCACUUUUGCCGGCCAAAGUGAGACUAGCUAGGCAGACAUUUGGAAAUGGUCGUCGCAUUCACAAUGCUCUAUAUAGAUAUGAUUUUGGCUUGUUUGCAAAAGCUACCAAAGUAACAACAGCCUAGCUAGAGUACGUGUUUUUUUUAACGGAACUCAUAUACUCCUGAUUUUGCACGGUUAAUUUAUGUCGAUGCGUGGUUAUUCCACAAACAAAACCUAACUCUAUUUGAGCGAUCGUUCAUCGUUCACUCGAUUUGGAUUUGGUGAAUGAUUAGACCGCGACUUCACUGCCCGCGCGCUUUUUUAUUGCUGUGACGUCACUGCUCACACAGGCUAUAAAAAGCAAAAUAUUUAUUUUAAAAUAUUAUAACUUCUAAACUGUGUAUUUAUUUUUAUUCCGUCUACAUCAGACGCGACGAGACGAACAAACUAGACGUCAUUCGUAUAUUCAAAGAAUAUUUUCUAGUAGCAAUUUAUAUGUAUUAACUUAUAAUAUAUAAGUUAUAACUUACAACUUCAUGUGCACGGCGGUGAUGGUGACGGCUGGCUGGAGCCGGGCACAGGCAGCGGCCUGGUGGAGUAGGGUGUGGGCACUGGCAAGGUAGCAGGGGGCGGGCUUCGUGUACCAGAACGGUGGCGUAGGAGAGGUCGCCGAUGUAUAGCACUAUGUCGCGCGAAAGGAGAAUGCUCAUUGGCGUGGCGGAGAGAAAAUGCAUUAGGGAUUUAGGGGGGGGGGGGUUGACCGAAGUGCACGGUUUUUUGCGCGUUUAGGAUGAUUUUUCUAAGUGACAAAAGAUUAGGACACAGAAUUGUAAAUUGUUGGAGAUGGUUUUUUCUAACCUCAAAAAAAAAUUUAGAUUUAGAGAUGCUCUAAGGGCAAGUAUAUUGCUACACGUCAACAGCCUCAUAUUUCGUCUCAUGCAGUACCAAAUUAAGACCCAAUAGAAAGUGUGGACCGAUCUAGCAUGAAAUGUGAAAUUGACAAAUUGCGUUUUGCCAGAUGGAUUCUUUAGAAAGAUUCACCAAUUUAAUGUAAACGAGUUCACCCCGACUCCAGAAAGAAAGAACAAUCUAGAAGCACAACGGAGGCUGAAGAUUCGAGAGAGAGUGAAUUGAUUAUGGUACGAAGCUAGGGUAGGAUUUUUGCUAACGUGGAGGAAAGAGAGAUGAAAGAGAGAAAAAGAUAUUGUUUUGCGAAACAACAACCUCAUGAACUAAAUUUAGGACUAUAAGAAGUUUAACACACCAAUGUACAAGUGCUUGUUGUCAUGCAACUGACAAAUAUUCUAUUAUUGUAUCUAUAAAUUAAGGACUCUAGAAUUACUACAAGAUAACUUAAAAACAAUCCUUUUACUUGUUAUUUCUUGAGUCUAUCUCAUAAUUACGUGGCACUGCAUGAGACUAUGGAGACAGUAUCAACGUAGGAUCAUCACUGGGAGAGGCAGCGGCUGCUGCGAAGGGCAUAUCCCAGCCAAAAAUUAAGCAGGAUUCCUCUCGUUCCUCUCAUAUUUCUAAUCUCCUCGGUUCUUUAUGUAUUGGUACUGAUGUCUGGAUGGGAAUGGUAGUACAACAGUGUUGCAACUCAUGGUGUGGUCCGAAUAGCUGAUUCACUUAGUUUUUUUUUCUCGAAUGCGCAAAAAAUUUGUGUAUCAUUGCAUUUAAGAAAAAGAAGUUUAUCAUACAAACGACGCGCAUCAAGCGCGCUAGGUGGUCUAACAUCUGGACCAACCUAGCAAACUGUUCCUAGCUUCAAUAUUACAUAAAUGGAACAACCAACAUGCCUACAUCGCAAUGUACUACGAGGCUUUCGCGAAGAGCUCCUUAGAGACCCGGUUGAACUCUGAGAACAACGCGUCAAGAGCAUCCACUUGGCUCAAUGUCAAGUUUCCACUUCCAAUGUUGUCGAGUGUUACCUUGGGCAUAGGUGAAAUCAGAGCUAUCGUCGGCAUGAUACCCAACCUCUCCUUGAGGAGUGCCUCGCCUCGCUUGGAGGCCGGUAUGUGUGCCAAUGGUUAGGUGGCAAUCCGUCUACUCUUGGCCCUGGCUGGUAGGGCCCUCAUGGUUGCCGCCUUUUGCCGUGGUGGAGAGGCGAGCAAGGGCGGCCCUCGCCUGACCUGCACCUCAUUCACAAACCGUGCGAGACGUCGAGCGAUCUCGCCCGACAUGGGUGACGCGUCACUAGGGCCAGGGGUAUCUGGCCAUGCGUCCUUCAUCGGCGUAGAAGGGUUAGGUGAGCGGCAACCACCCCGUGUUGACGCAGGAUCUGCAACGUGCGUCGCCUCAUCCACGAUAACGCUAGGUGCCGUCUAAGGAGGCAUGCCCUGCACAAGCGACGAUGGAGGCAGAUCAGUCAUGUCCUGAGCAACCGUUACCGGAGAACUGGUGUCCAAUAGAGGUCGAGCCUCCUGAUGUGAGACGAUGAACUCCUCUUGCAUUGGGUCAAUCCACGUUGGUGGCACCGAGUCCGCACGUGACUCCAACACUAGCGGAUCUAGCUCGGGGCAGUCAGCAUCAAUGGUAGGGGCAGUGCUAUCGUAGCCACUAGCUAUGAUGAUCCACGUCGUCGGCAUACUUUGAUGGCAUCAGCAGCAACAUCAAUGGUGUCAGUGGCAGCGGGCACAACUGACAUCCCCCAUGGCCUUGUGAGCCGCCCCAUCCUCAUUGCAUGAUGCCUAGAUGGCUAGAGGGUCGUGGCAUGUUAGGUUGGCACCCAUCGUCACCGUCUUCGCAAACCUUGGCCGCUUGCAAUCCCUGGCGAGAUGAUAGUAGUCGUGGCAGCGUAGGCAACGUCAUGGCAACCGGUAAGUUACGACACGAUGUGAGUAGGAGAGACAGUUAAAGCAUCUAUCGUGGAGCUCUGGGCGGAUCUGUUGGGCCUAUAGGAGCUGCUUAUGGUGAAGCUCAACUGCUGCGGUCGCAGGUUGUGUCUCCUGUCGUGGUAGGAUCUCUCGCCACCCACUGGCACCGAAGGCGGAGACCCUACUGUGGCGACCAAGGCAUUGACAGGCAGGGAUACAGCCAUCCAAUGACCGAGCAAGAAGGUUGUGCACCAGCUGGGGGCGUGGUCGGCCGCAUCCCUUUCGCCUUUGCCAAGGUCCAUGUCAUCCAACGUCCACCACGUCGCGGCUCCGAAACCCCAGACGAGUUCGAGCGCGUGGCAAGGAUAGAUGAGCCAGCGUAGCCAAUGUGUCCCAAUGAACAGCAUCGAGGUAGGGGGUCAUGGAGGUGGCAUCCUCAUCGGAGUCAUCAUCCACCCAACGACGUGCCUUGGAGCGACCCGCCACGCUACCUCCAGGAUGGAAGGGGUGGCAUGGGGGAAAGGGUGGACAACAUGCUCGCAGCGGGGGCAGAGCCAACAAGGAUGGCGUUGAGUUAAGAGGCAGCGGGGACGAGCAGGGGGCGGGGGAGUGCGGGCCGGGGGGUGAGCACAAGGAGAGAGGGAGGGGAGGGGCGGCGAAGGAGAUGAAGGGAUAGGGUUGAGAUGCUCUAAAUUUUCAUUCCGGGGAGGAAGCCGACACCGCCGCCGGUAGCGGCGUAGGGGCAAACCGGGGGCAAGGUCGGGGUCGAGGGUUGAGAUGCUCCGAAUUUUCAUUCCCAAAACUCCGUUGAUUCGCUUAGUUACUUCUUUGCUAUCGUGCUGCUGAUGAUUGGUUUUCUCUUUACUGUAAAUAAUAAGCUUCAUCUUAUAUGUCAAUUAUGUGUAAAAUAUGGUGGUUGACAUAAUUUUUGCUUUGUCACUAAACAACUUAGCCUGCUAUAGUUCUAAUUAGCCUUUGGGAAAAGCUGCCGCUAAGAGGCUUGCGCCCGCCGGCUAUUUUGAACAUUGCAGAAAAGGAAGUUACUAUUGAAAUUAUUUGAGAAUUUGCAAGAAUUCCUAAAUAUGAGGCUGCUAUGUGUAUGCGUGUUUUUUUUUGUGCAGUUGUAGAAGAUGAGGUUCUGAUUGGCGGCGGCGGCGGCUUUGUGCAGUUGUAGAAGAUGAGGUUCUGAUUGGCGGGACUAUUCGAGAGCGGAGGAGCAAGUACGGGGAUGGUGUCGGCCGUCGGGAUUCGGCACCCACCGCUGCUAGAGCUAGUAUUGAAAUAUGGAUGCCAGUAUCUACGCGGAAGAAUGUGCAAGGAGCGGUUGUCGUAAAAUAUGCUGCGGAUCUGCAUACUGAUAUCGAUCUGAGAGUAUUCGAGGUAUAGGGAGCUAUUGUUGUAGCAACGAACCUUGGACCCAAUCCCGACGUCGCUGCAGUUGGUCUGAUCGGCGCCAUCCGGGAUGAGCCCAAACGGGAAGGAGAUGGUCACGUUGCCGCAUAGCUGUGGACGAUGACAGUGCUCUCCUCCUUGCCCAUCUGAUGCUACCACAGGCUGUAUCAUCAGUGGUAAGGAUAAGGCCACCAACACCGGCGACGAGACUAGCAAGAGCAGCAACAAGGACGGAGCCAUAAGA
rnacentral:lncRNA from 1 species